CACUGGGCAGGUCACAACCCCUGCACUUGGAGACAUGACAGAAUAAGGCUUGAUGGAACUUGAUUCAGUCAGACUGGGCUUCAGGCAAAACCACCUCUAGUGCAAGAGAUGAAGGUUCCCUGGCAGUUUGGUUGUACAGCUCAUGGACUUGAAAAUUCGAGCUUAAGGUGUUGUCAUUUAUUCAGCAGCAGACUCAG